GAAGAGACGUGGAAAACGAAAUUUUAUCCUGCUAGGUGGCAGUGCGGUGCAUGGCUACCGCGGUGGUGCUGUGGGGCCGCGUGUCUUGGACCACAAAUUUGAAUCAAAGAAGUGGCCUCAGAAGAAGAGAUGGAGAUAGAUACAGCAGAGGCAAACCAAGUAAUGGAGUCGCAGCCCAGCAAGACAAGUAUGGCUGAACCUGAGUCUGAGCAUCCAGCUGGAGAUGCUCUGACAACAAACAAAAAAUGUUUGCCUCAAGCUGAAGAUCAGAAGCUUGGUGAUGAUGAGGCUGCCCCAAUGGAGCAGGGGCCUGAUCCCCCAAACCAAGAGGAGGCACCCAAGGACCAGGAGUCCGCAUCCCCACACCCCCAGCCACCACGCGAGAACCACGAGCAGGCGGCGCCUGACCCCGACCCCGAAGCCGCCGGGCCGGAGUCACCCCCCGAGCCGGAGCCG